AUUGAACCAUUAAACAAAAAGAAAAAAUGAUAAUUAAGCUUGAUUCAUUAAGAAUCAAGAUGAAGGAGAAAUGAAUGCAAUAAACGACAAUGAAUUUGUAAAUUUAACAAGGCGGAACAACGAGUUUUUCGAUUUCAUUAGUUGAUUUUAAGUUGUCGUAAACAAGUUAAACCAUUAUUGUUUGUGACUUGAGUACCAUUAAAAAAGACACAUAAUUAGACUCGCAUA